AUGAUUCAACAAGUUUUUGAUAACAUAUAUAUUAGUAACGUUUAUAAUGCUAAUGACAUAUACACUUUAAUAAAUUUAAACAUAGGAGGUGUAGUGACAUGUUUUAACUGUACUAAUAUAUGUUGGUGUGAUUAUAACUCGUCUAAUAAAACAAAAAGAGUCUUUUAUAAAAAUAAGUUCUUAUGCUGUAAACAAGAGUUUGAAAAAAAAGUUAAGUAUAAUUUAUCAACAAAAGGAAAUAAUGAAAAUGUAUUAAUUAAUAAAGAAAAAAACACAGACAAUAAAACUGUGAUAAAAAGUGAUGAAGCAGAACAUAAUAAAAAUAAUACAAAUGGAACUAACCCUGGAAAUAAAAAUGAAGAAACAGAAGAAUCGUCAAACUUGUCUCUUAUAACACAAGGUAUGUGUUAUGAAAUUUGUAAAAAUGCUCAACCACAUUAUGAUUAUAUAAUAUACCCUCAAGAAAUAAUAAAAAAUAAAAUGGAUAAAAAUAUUAUUCAACAUUAUAUAAAUUCAAUGGUAGACUUAGUUAAUGACUCUUCAUUUGAAUAUGACACUUUUUAUAACAAAGAAAACGAAGGUUGUACAAAUGCAGACAAUAAUUAUAAUUUAUAUGAAGAAGCUAUUAAUAAAACAAUAAUUGAACCAAUAAAUGUGCUUAGAAAAACAAAAUCAGAAGAAGAUCAAUUUUUAAGUUGUACAAAUAAACCAAACAUAUCAAUUGUUACAUCCAAAAGUGGCAAUUUUAAUAUAACUACUCCAGGAAUUGUUAUAAAAGAUCUUCAAUCAGAUGACUCUAAAAAUGUUGUUGAUAUAAAACAACUAACCGAAACAAAUGUUACUACAACGUUACAAACUGUUUGUGAACUAAAUAGAACAUUACAAAAAAAAUUUAAAAUUCAUUAUAAUAAUAUAUAUGUAAUAAAACAUAUUUAUUUAGAUAUAUUAGACACAAGGGAUGAAAACAUUAUACAUCAUUUUGACACAGCACAUGCUUUUAUUGAUGAUGUAAUUAGAAAUAAUAAAAAUGUGUUAGUUCAUUGUAUGGCUGGUAUAUCUCGCUGUUCUUCUAUUAUAUUAUCUUAUAUUUCAAAAAAAAAUAAAAAAGGAAUAAAACAGAAUUUUACAGAAUUAAAAAAUAAAUACCCCUUCGCUAACCCUAAUGAAAGCUUUUACCAACAACUCCUAUAUUAUGAAAAAAUGAAUUAUACUAUAAAUGUAAAUGAUGAUAAAAAAUAA
rnacentral:lncRNA from 1 species